GCGCCGGUAGUCUAGUGGUAGGACACCGGCCUUCCAAGCCGGUGACCCGGGUUCGAAAUAAAACCUAAAAGAAAUUCCCGGCCGGCGCACCA
rnacentral:tRNA from 1 species